rnacentral:lncRNA from 1 species
CAGAAUGUAGCACAGACAGAAGAUGGAAAAUUUUGAGAUAGUAGGAGAUACAGAAAUCUAAUUAAUGUAUCUAGGCACUGAAAUUGAUGGCUACUAACAUCACAAAGAGAGCCAAGAAGACAUUAUGUGCUUCCUGAUGGAAAUACAUACCACUACCUCUCAAAGAUAGCAGAGGAGUGACCAGAGGAAACAGUGCACUGGGCUUUAACAAUCUUUCCUACGUAGUAUGAAGCAGCAGCUGACCAAAAAGGACCAGAAGCAUUGAUGGCAGCUGGCGAGUCUCUAUACCUGGCAAAUCCAGUGACAAAUCCCAGCUGCUCUCAGCAGAAACAACUGGUUUAAGUGCAUCUUUGUGGGUGCCUUAAUCUCCUGCAAUGAUCCCGCCUCAGCCUCCCAAGCAGCUAGAACUACAAAUGCAUGCCACUACGCCUGGCUUUUUUUUUUUUUUUUUUUUUUUUUUAAAGAAAUGGGGUCUUAGCCGGGCAUGGUGGCUAACACCUGUAAUCCCAGCACUUUGGGAGGCCAAGGCGGGCAGAUGACGAGGUCAGAUCAAGACCAUCCUGGCUAACAUGGUGAAACCCCCCGUCUCUACUAAAAAUACAAAAUACAAAAAAAAUACCGGGCAUGGUGCUGGGCACCUGUAGUCUCAGCUACUCGGGAGGCUGAGGCAGGAAGAAUGGCAUGAACCCGGGAGGCGGAGCUUGCAGUGAGCUGAGA